rnacentral:rRNA from 1 species
UACGGAGGGUGCGAGCGUUGUCCGGAAUCACUGGGCGUAAAGGGCGCGUAGGUGGCUUCUCAAGCGCGCGGUGAAAGCCCGGGGCCUCAACCCCGGGUCGGCCGUGCGGACUGGGAGGCUCGAGCACUGUAGGGGCGGGUGGAAUUCCGGGUGUAGCGGUGGAAUGCGUAGAUAUCUGGAGGAACACCGGUGGCGAAGGCGACAUCCUGGACCGGUAUUGACGCUGAGGCGCGAAAGCCACGGGAGCAAACGGGG